UCUGCACCUCUCAUGCGCGUCCCAGCGCUCUUACCAGUAGAACUAGUGUAACAUUUACGUAAUUGUUGACCCUUUAAUAAAUAUAUAUCUUGUACGGCCCCAAGCACAUGGUUUAUGUGCCUCUACUCAGGUCCGGCCCUGCUACUAGGUUGCCCAACAACCUAAUUAGAACAUAGGUUUGCCCAAAUUUCUAAUUCAAACUUAAAAGUUGCCCAAUCUUCUAAAUUUCCCUAUAUUUUUUCCUUCCUUUAUUUUUUUCUGAUUUUCCUUUUUCCAUGCGUUAUAAUUCAUUUUUCACUUGAUGUUCUCUUCCUUCGAAUCUUUUCAGGUCAUUUGUUCUUUUCAUUCUAUUUUUUUCCCAACAAAGUUCUUUUCAUUCUAUUCAAUUUUAUUUUAAGCUACCAGUUCCAGAUUUUUUAUUUACUUUGUUAGUAGAUUUAUUAUUUCUUCUUUCAGUUAUAAUACUGUUGAGUUUAAAUGUUCUUUUAAAUGGUAUCUUUAUUAAAAGAUAUAAACACAUUCAUGCAAAAAAUUUCAAAAGAAAAAUAUUCCAUCCCCCCCUCCCUUCAAAAUAUUUUCUAGAUCCUACACUGAUAACGUAGUCCUUUCGUUGUGAGGGGUUGAAUCCCCCAUUAACGCUCUUAUAAUCUUGUAUCAUUGGACCAAAAUCAUGACCGUUCUUGUUCUGUCGAGAAAAGUGUCCACUAAUUGGACCAAAAGUCAUUUUCAUUUUAUCUUCAGUCUCACCCUCACGUCUUCGGUCUGUCCUUCAUCUCUG
rnacentral:lncRNA from 1 species